UUCAUCCGCCCCAGUCACUUGCACAUGUGAUUAACUUUUAAAACAAAUUGGUGGCGUGAUCGUUUCUUUUAUUUGCCUUCAAAUUUUCGGGGACUGAGUUACGUGAAAUUUUCGUGCGCAUUCUGAAGAUGGGUUCAGUUGAAACAACCGCCAGACGAAGACUGUAGGCAGUGCAGAUUUGCUUGAAUACAGAAUCAAAACAAAAAAACUCAGAAUGUUUUCCUUAUGCAGGCGAUACAAAGACGAGCACGAGCAUGGCGCUACGCAAAUCAAAGGAGGAUAUAUGCUCCGGUACAAACGGAAAUACAAUCUUUGGAGCUCAUGGUCAGAAGAAUGGGUGGUGCUUUACGAUGAUUCAACAAUGGCGUGGUUUAAGG